rnacentral:rRNA from 1 species
CCCUUAGAUGUCCGGGGCCGCACGCGCGCUACAAUGGAUGGAUCAACGCGUCAUCCUGGCCCGAAAGGGUUGGGGAACCGCUGAACCUCAUCCGUGGUUGGGAUUGGGGUUUGUAAUUAUUCCCCAUGAACUAGGAAUUCCCAGUAAGCGCGAGUCAUAAGCUCGCGUUGAUUACGUCCCUGCCCUUUGUACACACCGCCCGUCGCUACUACCGAUUGGAUGGUUUAGUGAGAUCCUCGGAUUGGUCACGGCACGGUGGCAACACUGCGUCGGUGUGCCGAGAAGACGAUCAAACUUGAUCAUCUAGAGGAAGUAAAAGUCGUAACA